rnacentral:rRNA from 1 species
UACGUAGGUGGCAAGCGUUGUUCGGAAUUAUUGGGCGUAAAGGGCGCGUAGGCGGUUUGUUAAGUCGGCUGUGAAAGCCCGGGGCUCAACCCCGGAGGGUCAGCCGAUACUGGCAGACUAGAGUACGGAAGAGGUAGCUGGAAUUCCCGGUGUAGCGGUGAAAUGCGUAGAGAUCCGGAGGAACACCAGAGGCGAAGGCGGCCUACUGGGCUGCACCUGACGCUGAACCGCGAAAGCUAGGGGAGCGAACGGG